UAGACGGAGAAGUGGGAAUAUAGGGAUGAACUUGUAAUUCUACAGCUUGUACCAACAAGAGAGUGUACCAUUGGGACAGCCUGCAGGAAUCUGACUAUGUUCCUGAACCUGUUGAAUUGUUACCAAGAGAAUUUAUUGAGGUUGCCACACCUGGGAAAGUGCAAGAGGCCGAGAUGGAUAGAGCAAAGGAGGCAACCUGAUCUGAGUCCUGACGAAUCUGGAAUCAAGAACGAUUGCAUCAGAGGAUUCAGGGUGUCGAAUAUCCAGGGAAGGUGAGAGG